rnacentral:rRNA from 1 species
ACUGACGGUGUCAACGAGUCUUUCCUUCGCCGGAAGGCGUGGGUAAUCUUGUAAAACAUCGUCGUGCUGGGGAUAGAUCAUUGCAAUUAUUGAUCUUGAAC